GAUAGAUUGCUUUGCUGACUUUGAAGAAGGAAACCCCAUGUUGUGACAAAGCCCAUGAACGGACUACAUGGCAAGGACUGGGAGCAGUCUUUUGGAGUUAAGAGUAACCCUUGCUAUUAUCUUGAAAAACACAGGGUUUCUUCAUAGAACUUCAUAGAACUGAACUAUGGCACAGCUUCAAAGAACUGAAUUCUGACAUUAACUAUGUAAACUCAGAAGAGGAUCCCAAGCUUCAGAAAGGUUCACUUAUUUCAUCUUAUCACAACCACUUAUGAAAACAGAGGACCAGAGCUGUAACAAACCCAACGUAAAGGAAGGGCUGACCGCCGUAAGAGAGACUGCCUGCCAGAGAGGGAACACAGCAGGGGAGUGGGAG